rnacentral:rRNA from 1 species
GCGGCGUGCCUACACAUGCAAGUCGAACGAGAAAGUGGAGCAAUCCAUGAGUAAAGUGGCGACCGGGUGAGUAACACGUGACUAACCUACCCUCGAGUGGGGAAUAACUCCGGGAAACCGGGGCUAAUACCGCAUAACAUCGCAAGAUCAAAGCAGCAAUGCGCUUGAGGAGGGGGUCGCGGCUGAUUAGCUAGUUGGCGGGGUAACGGCCCACCAAGGCGAAGAUCGGUAUCCGGCCUGAGAGGGCGCACGGACACACUGGAACUGAAACACGGUCCAGACUCCUACGGGAGGCAGCAGUGGGGAAUUUUGCGCAAUGGGGGAAACCCUGACGCAGCAACGCCGCGUGGAGGAUGAAGCCCUUUGGGGCGUAAACUCCUUUCGACUCGGACGAUAAUGACGGUACGAGUGGAAGAAGCACCGGCUAACUCUGUGCCAGCAGCCGCGGUAAUACAGAGGGUGCGAGCGUUGUUCGGAAUUAUUGGGCGUAAAGGGCGCGUAGGCGGUGCGGUAAGUCACCUGUGAAAUCUCCUGNCUUAACUGGGAGCCUG